CACGUAGGGCGCAAGCGUUGUCCGGAAUUAUUGGGCGUAAAGAGCUCGUAGGCGGUCUGUUGCGUCCGCUGUGAAAACUCGGGGCUUAACCCCGAGCCUGCAGUGGAUACGGGCAGACUAGAGGUAGGUAGGGGAGAAUGGAAUUCCCGGUGUAGCGGUGAAAUGCGCAGAUAUCGGGAGGAACACCGGUGGCGAAGGCGGCUUCCUGGCCUGUUCUUGACGCUGAGGCGCGAAAGCUAGGGUAGCAAACGGG
rnacentral:rRNA from 1 species